AGAGUUUGAUCAUGGCUCAGAUUGAACGCUGGCGGCAGGCCUAACACAUGCAAGUCGAGCGGUAGCACAGAGAGCUUGCUCUCGGGUGACGAGCGGCGGACGGGUGAGUAAUGUCUGGGAAACUGCCUGAUGGAGGGGGAUAACUACUGGAAACGGUAGCUAAUACCGCAUAACGUCGCAAGACCAAAGUGGGGGACCUUCGGGCCUCAUGCCAUCAGAUGUGCCCAGAUGGGAUUAGCUAGUAGGUGAGGUAACGGCUCACCUAGGCGACGAUCCCUAGCUGGUCUGAGAGGAUGACCAGCCACACUGGAACUGAGACACGGUCCAGACUCCUACGGGAGGCAGCAGUGGGGAAUAUUGCACAAUGGGCGCAAGCCUGAUGCAGCCAUGCCGCGUGUGUGAAGAAGGCCUUCGGGUUGUAAAGCACUUUCAGCGGGGAGGAAGGCGGUGAGGUUAAUAACCUCACCGAUUGACGUUACCCGCAGAAGAAGCACCGGCUAACUCCGUGCCAGCAGCCGCGGUAAUACGGAGGGUGCAAGCGUUAAUCGGAAUUACUGGGCGUAAAGCGCACGCAGGCGGUCUGUCAAGUCGGAUGUGAAAUCCCCGGGCUCAACCUGGGAACUGCAUUCGAAACUGGCAGGCUAGAGUCUUGUAGAGGGGGGUAGAAUUCCAGGUGUAGCGGUGAAAUGCGUAGAGAUCUGGAGGAAUACCGGUGGCGAAGGCGGCCCCCUGGACAAAGACUGACGCUCAGGUGCGAAAGCGUGGGGAGCAAACAGGAUUAGAUACCCUGGUAGUCCACGCCGUAAACGAUGUCGAUUUGGAGGUUGUGCCCUUGAGGCGUGGCUUCCGGAGCUAACGCGUUAAAUCGACCGCCUGGGGAGUACGGCCGCAAGGUUAAAACUCAAAUGAAUUGACGGGGGCCCGCACAAGCGGUGGAGCAUGUGGUUUAAUUCGAUGCAACGCGAAGAACCUUACCUGGUCUUGACAUCCACAGAACUUUCCAGAGAUGGAUUGGUGCCUUCGGGAACUGUGAGACAGGUGCUGCAUGGCUGUCGUCAGCUCGUGUUGUGAAAUGUUGGGUUAAGUCCCGCAACGAGCGCAACCCUUAUCCUUUGUUGCCAGCGGUCCGGCCGGGAACUCAAAGGAGACUGCCAGUGAUAAACUGGAGGAAGGUGGGGAUGACGUCAAGUCAUCAUGGCCCUUACGACCAGGGCUACACACGUGCUACAAUGGCAUAUACAAAGAGAAGCGACCUCGCGAGAGCAAGCGGACCUCAUAAAGUAUGUCGUAGUCCGGAUUGGAGUCUGCAACUCGACUCCAUGAAGUCGGAAUCGCUAGUAAUCGUAGAUCAGAAUGCUACGGUGAAUACGUUCCCGGGCCUUGUACACACCGCCCGUCACACCAUGGGAGUGGGUUGCAAAAGAAGUAGGUAGCUUAACCUUCGGGAGGGCGCUUACCACUUUGUGAUUCAUGACUGGGGUGAAGUCGUAACAAGGUAACCGUAGGGGAACCUGCGGUUGGAUCACCU
rnacentral:rRNA from 1 species